rnacentral:rRNA from 1 species
UACGUAGGGUGCGAGCGUUGUCCGGAAUUAUUGGGCGUAAAGAGCUCGUAGGCGGUGUGUCGCGUCGGCCGUGAAAACCUGGGGCUCAACUCUGGGCGUGCGGUCGAUACGGGCAUCACUUGAGUUCGGCAGGGGAGACUGGAAUUCCUGGUGUAGCGGUGAAAUGCGCAGAUAUCAGGAGGAACACCGGUGGCGAAGGCGGUUCUCUGGGCAUGUCCUGACGCUGAGGCACGAAAGCUGGGGGAGCAAACAGG